rnacentral:rRNA from 1 species
UUAACCCUACGGGGCGCAGCAGUGGGGGAUAUUGCACAAUGGGGGAAACCCUGAUGCAGCGACGCCGCGUGAGUGAAGAAGUAAUUCGUUACGUAAAGCUCUAUCAGCAGGGAAGAAAAUGACGGUACCUGACUAAGAAGCCCUGGCUAACUACGUGCCAGCAGCCGCGGUAAUACGUAGGGGGCAAGCGUUAUCCGGAUUUACUGGGUGUAAAGGGAGCGUAGACGGUCCUGCAAGCCAGAUGUGAAAGCCCGGGGCUCAACCCCGGGACUGCAUUUGGAACUGUAAGGCUAGAGUGUCGGAGG